GGGCCCGUAGUCUAGAUCGGUUAUGACGUCGCCUUGACGUGGCGAAGAUCCCCGGUUCAAAUCCGGGCGGGCCCA
rnacentral:tRNA from 1 species